rnacentral:rRNA from 1 species
AUUAAAGGGCCGCGGUAUUUUAACCGUGCAAAGGUAGCAUAAUCAUUAGGUUUCUAAUUAGAAUCUUGUAUGAAUGGUUCGACAAAAGAAGUACUGUCUUUAUAUUAAAUUUUGAAUUUAACUUUUAAGUGAAAAGGCUUGAAUAUAUUAAAGGGACGAUAAGACCCUAUAAAACUUUACAUUGUAAUUUUAUUUAAUUAAAUUUGUGAAAUAAAGAUUUAAUUUAAUUAUAUGUUAUGUUGGGGAGACAAAGGUAAAAUAAAUUUUAACUGCUUUAUGUUAAAACAUAUAUUUAUGGAUAUAUUAAAAGAUCCUUUAUAAAGAUUAAAAGAUUAAGUUACUUUAGGGAUAACAGCGUUAUUUUUUUUUGAGAGUUCCUAUCGAAAAGAGAGUUUGCGACCUCGAUGUUGAAUUAAAAUAUCUUUAUAGUGCAGAAGCUAUAAAAGAAGGUCUGUUCAACCUUUAAAUUUUUACAUGAUUUGAGUUCA